rnacentral:lncRNA from 1 species
CCAUGCUUUCGGCACUACUGGCAAGCAAAGUGUUCACUGAUGAAUGAACAAUUACAUUUACCUACAAGUUGAAAUAUGAUGUUAUUUUGUUUUGACUGAAAUUCCAGCUCAGUGUGAGAAUACUGAACGAUGUGUACUUGAAAACAGUACACUCUCUCUUGCACAGCUGUCCCUGGAACUUCCCCGUGGAGCUGUUAAACUUGCCCUCCGCUGGCUGUUUUCCACAAAGUAAUAUGGUUACAUAGAUUCGCUGCUCAUGGCAACGUUUCAUUAAGACAGUUCUUGGUGGCUGCUCCACACCUUUCUCACCACGUCUCACAGGCCGCCCUGCUGAACCAGGUCUCCCUGGAACCCGGGGCUCCUGUGCAGGCCUCCAUUUUGCUGCAGAACACCCAGGAAGGGGGGGCUUAGGCUGGAAUGGGGACACCGAUUACCCUCUACUCAGGCCUUUGGUGCCAGCUGAGGUCGAUACUGGUGCCAGGAUCGAGAUUGUGCCCAUCCCAUAGAGGGCGGACAGAUGUGGGGGCGCACUGGACAGGGCCUCCCAGGCUGACACCCAUUCACAGCAGCCUGAGCCUAAUCCGCCACUGCUCGCCUUCCUCCGACGUCUCCACCUAAACCAUCCUUCUACCCGUUGUGACCUAUCACCGUCACUCUGCCCUUUGUCCC